rnacentral:lncRNA from 1 species
UGAAUUUAAAAUUAUUACCAUGGUGGAAAAUAUUUUUCUUCCAAAAUUGCUUCGACAAAAUGACUCACGGUCCGAAUCUACUUUUCAUAAAUAUAUUCAUUGCAAGGUCAAAGGUGUUUAAACUUGUUCUCAGUAAAGAUGGCGAUUUUAAUAUAGUUUCACCCAAACUUGUGAAAUAAUUAAACCUCCAUUCCAAAUCAAU